AAAGUACUCCUUCCGUGCCAAAAUUCUUGUCUUAGAUUUGUCUAGAUACGGAUGUAUCAAGUCACAUUUUAGUAUUAGAUACAUCCGUAUCUAGACAAAUCUAAGACAAGAAAUUUGGGACAGAGGGAGUACUUG
rfam:Triticum aestivum genome assembly, contig: Triticum_aestivum_CS42_TGACv1_scaffold_271474_3DS